ensembl:snoRNA Gm25480 small nucleolar RNA SNORA67
GUCUAAGGAGAUUUCCACUCCAGAGGACUGAUUGUGUGCCCUUUACAGGUAUGUAGCAACUUGGAAGAAAGCCCGGCAUGCCCAAGGUCUCUGUUGAACAAGGAAUUCUUUUUUCCUUUGUCUUCCUUUAGCUGCCUAUAGAU